rnacentral:rRNA from 1 species
GGCGGACGGGUGAGUAACGCGUGGGUAACCUGCCUCAUACAGGGGGAGUAACAGUUGGAAACGACUGCUAAUACCGCAUAAGCGCACAGGGUCGCAUGACCUGGUGUGAAAAACUCCGGUGGUAUGAGAUGGACCCGCGUCUGAUUAGCCAGUUGGUGGGGUAACGGCCUACCAAAGCGACGAUCAGUAGCCGACCUGAGAGGUUGACCGGCCACAUUGGGACUGAGACACGGCCCAGACUCCUACCGGGAGGCAGCAUG